rnacentral:rRNA from 1 species
GGCUCAGGAUGAACGCUAGCUACAGGCUUAACACAUGCAAGUCGAGGGGAAACGAUAGAGAGAGCUUGCUUUUUCUAGGCGUCGACCGGCGCACGGGUGAGUAACGCGUAUCCAAACCUGCCCACCACUUGGGGAUAACCUUGCGAAAGUAAGACUAAUACCCAAUGACGUCUCUAGAAGACAUCUGAAAGAGAUUAAAGAUUUAUCGGUGAUGGAUGGGGAUGCGUCUGAUUAGCUUGUUGGCGGGGUAACGGCCCACCAAGGCGACGAUCAGUAGGGGUUCUGAGAGGAAGGUCCCCCACAUUGGAACUGAGACACGGUCCAAACUCCUACGGGAGGCAGCAGUGAGGAAUAUUGGUCAAUGGACGAGAGUCUGAACCAGCCAAGUAGCGUGCAGGAUGACGGCCCUAUGGGUUGUAAACUGCUUUUAUAAGGGAAUAAAGUGAGUCUCGUGAGACUUUUUGCAUGUACCUUAUGAAUAAGGACCGGCUAAUUCCGUG